AAUAUUCUGUGAUGUGGAUGAACCCCAACUGCUUUGAAAAGCAAGGAGAAAAUCUCCAGCCCUGGGAUGUCAGUCACUUCCUUAUACCUCUGAGAGCUCUGUGAGAAGGAUGCUCCUGGGUCCUCUGUUAGUUCACAAAGUACAAGAAACCCAGGGAGUGGACCUCACCCCAUUCACACCUACUUGGAACCAGAUGAGAUGGGAUCAGCAGAGCAGCAUGAGGCAACCAGAAGCAAAAAUCACUUGAAAGAGUUGGUUCCACCUUCACAGAGCUUCACCAAGACCUCUACAGCUAGUCUCUCAUCAGGUGUUCCUCGAUGAAAAAGGCACGUUAGGCUUUUCUUUCUCAUUUAGCAGACAAACCACCAGGCAUCCAGACAGA